rnacentral:rRNA from 1 species
UACGAAGGGGGCUAGCGUUGCUCGGAAUGACUGGGCGUAAAGGGCGCGUAGGCGGAUGGCACAGUCAGAUGUGAAAUUCCCGGGCUUAACCUGGGGGCUGCAUUUGAUACGUGUGAUCUAGAGUGAGGAAGAGGGUCGUGGAAUUCCCAGUGUAGAGGUGAAAUUCGUAGAUAUUGGGAAGAACACCGGUGGCGAAGGCGGCGACCUGGUCCUUGACUGACGCUGAGGCGGACGAAGGCGUGGGGAGCAAACAGG